AGAGCAGACUUUUUCUUUGCUCAAAGUCUAAGCAUUGAAGAACUUCUUUUUAGUAGGUAGAUUUUUGUGUUUUUUUGUUUGUUUUUGAGACGGAGUCUCACUCUGUCGCCCAGGCUGUGGUGCAGUGGCACGAUCUCGGCCCACUGCAAGCUCUGCCUCCCGGGUUCACACCAUUCUCCUGCCUCAGCCUCCCAAGUAGCUGGGACUACAGGUGCCAGCCACCACGCCUGGCUAAUUUUUUUGCAUUUUUUAGUAGAGAUGGGGUUUCAUCGUGUUAGCCAGGAUGGUCUUGAUCUCCUGACCUCAUGAUCCACCCGCCUUGGCCUGCCAGAGUGCUGGAAUUACAGGCGUGAUUUAGUAGGUAGUUUUGAGUAGGGAGUAUACAUUUAAAAUGCUGAAACUCAGUUAAGGAAUAAUCUAAUACUGUAUUCAACUGAAACUCAGUUGAGAAAUUUCUUUCCAAUAAUAAAGGAAAAUCAACUGCAGUAAUGAGGGAGAUGAUUUUGCUGCUAAUUACAACAAAUAUUUACUACAGACCUGUUAUGCACCAGGAACUGUGCUAAAUGUUUUAUACAUAUAACUUUAUCUUGUGCUCCAACAACUUAUUACAUAGAAAUUGCUAUUAUUCCCAUUUUCUAGAUUAAUAAAUUGGUUUAGAGGGGUCGUAUAGGUGAAACAACUCACUCAAUAUCACAAGCUGUUAUGUGGUGAAGUUUGCAUGAUCAGUACAGGGUUCUGGUCAUCCCACUCAUUGAGUGGUGCUAGUCAAGAUCUGGAAGCUCUUCUGGUCUUAGUUUCUCUAGCCGUGAAGUGACAAUGAUUAGGUCUAAUCAUAGAACAUGAGAGUACAUGUGAAAAAAUGCCUUUUUAAAGAGUAUGAAAAACUUGAGUUGUAAAAUUUUCUUGUGGAUAAUUUAUUAUUGCUUUUCUUUUUUAGAUAACACUAACAAAGUUGACCUUAGAAUUGGAGUGCCUGGGUUAGAACCCUGCUGGUACCACCUGCUUACUGCAUGCUUCUGAUGUGAGUUCAGGAGAAGACACUGGCAAGGACAGCAAAGAACAGGAGAACACUCUAGCUUCCCUGAUAGCAUUCAAGGUGCUGUCCAAACUGACUGUGAUGGCACCCUCCAGACAGACAGCGAUGCCACAUGUUCAAGAUGGCAGAAUCACUAUCAGCUUCAAUUCCUGAAUGACUGCAGAGCAAAAUUUCUUACCUGCAACAUACACUCUAUUUUCAGCCUCCCUGGACUGUUACAUAAUGAUACAUAAAAAUAUUUCUUGUGUUGAGGCAUCCCAAAUUUGAUUUAUUUGUCAUCACAGUCUAUCCUAUGAAUAUAUUUCUGAUCCAAAUAAUGCUAGAUUCAUGAGAGUUUAUAGUCCAGAGAUUUUUUUUUUUUUUUUGAGACAGAAUCUGUCUCCCAGGCUGGGGUGCAGUGGCAUAAUCUUAGCUCACUGCAACCUCUGCCUCCCGGGCUCAAGUGAUCCUCCCUCCUUAGCCUCCAUGAGUAGCUGGGACCACAGGUGUGCACCACCACACCCCGCUAAUUAUUUUGUAUUUUUUGCAGAGGGGGGUUUCACCACAUUGCCCAAGCUGGUCUCAAACUCCUAGACUUAAGGGAUCUGCCUGCCUUGGCCUCCCAAAAUGCUGAAAUUACACUUGUUAGCCAUAGUAAUAGUUCCUAGCCAUAGUCCGGAGAUAUUUUAAAAACUUUAGUGUGAGUUAUUUCUCUUUGCUAUAAUUCUCUCAUGCAUUUUGAAAACCUUUUCUGCCAUACAGUGGUUUUUGGGAAGUCCUUUUGGACAGACAUAUCACAGGAUGGAGAAACUAAAAA
rnacentral:lncRNA from 1 species